rnacentral:tRNA from 1 species
GCGCCCGUAGCUCAGUAACGGAUAGAGCAAGGGAUUCCUAAUCCCUGUGUCGGAGGUUCGAGUCCUCUCGGGCGCA